CGGAGCCACCGGGGAAUCCUGGGCCGAUCAGCUGGAGAGAGGAGCGAACCACUGCCGGAGAGGGGGGCUGUGUGGUUGAUCUGGACGGCCCCAAAGUUAAACUGACGUGUUUGUGCUGGAUUAAAAAAAAAAUACAGGAGGAACUACUUCCAUCAGCAGCUGGAGAUGCAUGGUGAUGGGUCCUACGUGGAGGUGAAAGGUCACAUCAUCACUAUUGAGCGGUGAAGCAGCUUCCAUUGGCAGAGCCGAAUGUAGAGAAGACAACAAAGAGAGGAACCAUCCAUGACAGAGGGUAAAGGACUCUGUCUCCAAAAGUCUAAGGAGGGACAAACAAAUCCUUUAGAUAAGAUAAGGAAGUGAAGUAAAUGAAUACUUAGCUGUUACUGACGUGUGACCAAAUAUUCUCCAGAAUAGACUUAUGUUAGCGUCCUCUAAUUGUUGUAUGUUAAUCUUUUAUUCU